rnacentral:rRNA from 1 species
CGCUGGCGGCGCGCCUAACACAUGCAAGUCGAGCGAGANCCGGAGCUUCGGCUCCGGGGNACAGCGGCGAACGGGUGAGUAACACGUGGAUAACCUGCCCUCGGCACCGGAAUAGCCCGGGGAAACCCGGAUUAAUGCCGGAUGGCCCCACAUCCCUGCGGGGAACGUGGGAAAAGGUAGCUUCGGCCUCUGGCCGAGGAUGGGUCCGCGGUGGAUUAGCUUGUUGGUGGGGUAAUGGCCCACCAAGGCGACGAUCCAUAGCUGGUCUGAGAGGACGAUCAGCCACACUGGGACUGAGACACGGCCCAGACUCCUACGGGAGGCAGCAGUGGGGAAUCUUGCGCAAUGGGCGAAAGCCUGACGCAGCGACGCCGCGUGCGGGAAGAAGGCCUUAGGGUUGUAAACCGCUUUCAGGAGGGACGAAGCCACUCGGGUGAAUAGCCCAGAGGGUGACGGUACCUCCAGAAGAAGCCCCGGCUAACUACGUGCCAGCAGCCGCGGUAAUACGUAGGGGGCAAGCGUUGUCCGGAUUCAUUGGGCGUAAAGAGCGUGUAGGCGGCCAGGUAGGUCGGUUGUGAAAACUGGAGGCUCAACCUUCAGAGGUCGA